rnacentral:tRNA from 1 species
GGGCUCGUAGAUCAACGGUAGAUCGCUUGCAUGGCAUGCAAGAGGUUGCGGGAGACUCAAGCGCCACUUUUACGCGGCGCAAGAGUCCGCAAAUUCAAAUCCCGUCGAGUCCA